CAGCCCGCCUGGCGCGCGGGGCUCUGCGCGCUGCGACCCUCCCCGGCAGUCCCGCCCGCCUCUCCUCGCCCUCUCUCUGCCUGGCCUCCAACUUUGCCUCUCGCUAUCCUCUCCGCCGGCGCCCCCUUUCCCGGCGGUCCCCGGGAUGGUCCCCGGCACCCCGAGGACGCCGAGGUUACGGGAAGUUCGGGGACUGGCGGGAGAAGGGGUUUGGGGGUGGUCCGCGGCGAGGGGCGCGGGGUGCAUCUUCUCUUCCUUUUAUGGGCUGCCACACUUGUGUAUCCCUUCUUCCUUGAAUUUAACCAGGAGUGAGCAGUGGACAGCUUCUUCCCUAUGAGAAGGAGGUGAAGCAGGACCUGAAAUCCCGUGCUCAGCUCCCACAUGCCCCGUGUCCAGGACAAGUCCUUUGCUGAAUCAGCGGCAGACACCACCCGGAGCCCUGCGGGAGCCUUUCCCUGUUCUUCCAGCAUGGAUCUGAAACUCCCUUCCCACUUUCUGCAGCCUCCCAGAGAUAGUUCAGGCUCCAGCCUCAUGUGAUAGCAUGAAGAGAAACUGGUUCCAACAGCUGUGUGCUCUGCUGCCCUCAUCCCAAACAACAGUUUAAAUGCACAAUUACGCUUUUCUCUAAGGCCCAAAAUAGGAUAGGAAAGAUCGUUUUGCUAUCCCUGAAUGCCUGUCACCCUUGUUUCGUAAGGUAAGAUUGGGAAGGGCUUGGCCAUUGCCCUUGCAGCUGAGAAACCAACUUUAGGAAUAAAGACACUCUCUCCAUGUCUGACAAAUGUCUGCCCAUCUGCUGGCAGGUCAGUCUCUCUCUCUGAGAUAUAGAUUAUAUAUGUAUACAUAUAUAUGUGUGUGUGUAUAUAUAAUACACAUAUAUACAUAUAUACACACACAUUCACAUAUAUAAUAUAUAUGUGUGUAUAUACUAUACACAUAUAUAAUCUAUAUAGAGAGAUAUAUAGGUUAUAUAUAUGUACACGUGUGUAUGCAUAUUAUUAUACAGACAUAUACAUACACACAUAUAUAUACACACAGACAUAUAUAUACACGCACACACAUAUAUAAUCUAAUUAUGGAGCUGCCCUUACAGCUCACGCAUGUCAUGCGCACACACGCAGGCACAGUCAUUAGCUUUCAGAGCUGACACAUCAGGAGGCUGCAUCCCCCGCCUCCUCAUGGCUGAACGAUGUCUGCUCCUGGGUGACGCGUCCACUAGGCUGCCUCCUACUCAGGUUCCCCCUCCCCAGCCCCUUGUCUCGGAGCAGUCUUACUCUUAUUUUGUUUGUGGUACUUUUUCUGCCCGUCGAUGAUCUUACUCAUCUGCUUAUGUAUUUAUUUUCUGUUCCUCCUCCAGCAGGAAGUCAGUCCCAGAAUAGUUGUUCUGCUCCCUCCCUUCUAAUAAGUGCUGCGCUGAGUGUGCUUGCUUUGCCAGAUGGUUAAAACAGAGCAGGGGAUAGAAGGACAGAUGUCUUCACCCUCAUGGAGUUCACCUUCCAGUAGGAGGAGGCGAUAGGCCGGGGUCUGCACAUGUGCGUGCUACAGCCUGUUCCACGGUGCGUGGCGUGCGGGGCAGUAGAGACAGGAUUUCACCAUGUUGGCUAGGAUGGUCUCGAUCUCCUGACCUUGUGAUCCGCCCCUCCCUCAGCCUCCCAAAGUGCUGGGAUUACAGGCGUGAGCCACUGCACCCUGCCAGAAAACUCAUUCUUCUACUCCAUCCUACAGUUUUCCCUAAGAGAGAAACAAUAAAACGCCACCACGACCAAUGGCAAAAAGCUGGCACCCACUCCACGACUUUUCAUAUCUACACGUUUGUACAGCUUUAUUUUUAAGCAUUCUGAAAUUCUAUGCAGGAGAGACCCCAGCUAGGUUUAGGGAGUCCUAGGGUUUGUGGAGUAAAUGAAGUUUCUCCCUAGAAUUAGGGAGGGUAGAGACAGGCAGAGAACUGACAAUCCUAACAGCUGCUGUCCUCAGAGCCACUGUUUCUGAGAGCUGCUCGCUGAGUGCUUCUAGCGAGUUAAAUGGUGUUCGCCCAAAAGACCUGUUCACGUCCUGAUCCUGGGAACCUGUGGCUGUGAUCUUAUUUGGAAAAAGCUCUACAUUACGUCUUUGCAGAAGUAAUCAUGUUAAGGAUCUUGAGAGGACGUGACCCUGAAUUAUCCGGCUGUGCUUGACAUCCAAUGACUGGUGAUGUUGUAAGAGAAAGACGGAGGGAGAUGUAAGAUAUGAGAGAAGGCCACGCCGAGACUGGAGUGAUGUGGCCGUGAGCCGAGGAAUGCCUGGAGCCACCAGAAGCUGGCAAAGGCAGAAGGAGCCUCCUCUGGACCCUGUGGUGGGUACGCAGCCUGGCAGAUAUAUUCAUUUUGGACUUCUGGCCUCCAGGGCUGUGAGAGAAUACAUUUCUGCAGUUUUAAGCCACGCAAUCUGUGUCCCUGGGAAGCCCAAAUAGGGCGAGACCUUUUGCCAAGUGGUCUCCAAGUGUCACGUCAUCGAAUCCUUCUCCCGGGCUUGUGCCAUAGUCUUUCCACUUUAGAGAGGAGGAAACGGAGGCUCUGGGGCACAAAGCCAGUCAGUGGCGGGGCCUGACUUUCAACCCAGCCUGCAUGGGGUCAGAGAACCCACUUUCCCCGUGGGGCCUGCGGCCUAUGCUAAGGAUGCUUGUUCAUCUCUCCUGGGCCCGGGAGUGGUUCUUCUGGCCUAGAAGGCAAGAGAAGCCAGUCUUUCGGUUUCAAGGUUUCCCAUUAGUGGAGUCAAGCAAAAAUGGUGUGUUGCGCUUCUUCCUGAGCUCAGCCUGGGAGCACGGCCUUAACAUGCUCAGUGGAUCCCAAGACGGCAGCAUGGCGGUGCCAGCCUGGCAGCCUUAGCUCCUUGCAGCUGUGCUUGUGAAGGGAGCAGUGAGUGGCUUCCCUCUGUGACCACCUUGGGUCCUAAGUUUCACUGGGGCUGGGAUCCAUGCGUCUUGCAAUUGGCUAGGAAUUUCCCGGGCUUUCCCUCCCUUCCCUGUUCAGGGCACUGGGUGUGAGGCAUUGCAUCCGUUCUUCUGCUCACCUGCUUCCCCCUAAGAGUGUGAGCUGUAUAAAGGCAGGAACCAAACAGGAGCCUCCACGUGUUCCCAGUUCAAGGGCAGUGUCCCUUGUGUGUUUCUUCAAUAAUUCAGUGGAUGACUUAUUCUGCACGGACACUGCACACACUCGGCCCUGCCGUCUCCGGAGCUGGGAGGUGUGGAGCUGGCUCCUGACCUAUUUACACACUGAGGAGGGAUGUGGAAAACAGGAGGAGUCCCAGGGCUCCAAUGCAAAGAGGAGCCUCUUCAUUCCCUCUGCCGUGGCCGUGCAAGGGACAGCGCCUUGUGGGAUUGUGUCCUCCACCCAAUUAUCCUUAGCAUUAGUUUGCUAAGGAUAAUGGCCUCCAGCUCCACCCAUGUCCCUGCAAAGGACAUGAUCUCAUUCCUUUCUGUGUCUGCAUAGUAUUCCAUGGUGUAUAUGUACCGCGUUUUCUUUAUCGAGUCUAUCAUUGAUGGGCGCUUCAGUUGAUUCCAUGUCUUUGCUACUGUGACUCGUGCUGCAAUGAGCAUUCGCGUGCAUGCCUUUAUGGUGGAAUUAUUUCUAUUCCUUUGGGUGCAUACCCAGUCAUGGGAUUGCUGGGUCAAAUGGCAUUUCUGCCUCUAGGUCUUUAAGGAAUUGCCACGCUGUCUUCCACAAUGCAAGCAAGACGUUAUUGAAAGUGUAAAGGGGGCUGCUAAUUACGCUGGGGCAGGCGGGGCAAACCAGGACCCUGCCAGGCGAGUCUAGGCCAUGGCCCCACACCAGAAGAUGAGGGCUGGAGACUCCUGGAGAGGAAUCUGAGUGGCGAGACCACCUGCAUUCAUUAUGUGUCAACUCUGCCAGGUGACAGUCCCCAGUGAGCCCAUCAAACAUGAACCUAGGUGCUGUUGGGAAGGUCUUUGGAUGCCAUUAACAUCUACAAUCAGUUGGUUUUCAGUAGAGGAGAUUAUCCUCAAGAAUGUGGGCGGGCCUCAUCCAGUGAGCUGAAAGGCCUUGAGAGCAGAACUAGGAUUUUGGAGGAGGAUGAAGUGUUGCCUCCGGACCGCAGCGUCACCUCUUGCCUGGGAAUUUCCAGCUUCCUUUUCAGACUUCGGACUUGCCUCCAAGCUCCCUGAAUCUUUUCAUAUAUUUAUGUCCUAUUGCAGAUUGUGUUUCUCUGGCUGGACUGUAACUGAUGAGGAGGACUGAAAUUCCAGGCUUGGUUGUAUAGCAUAUAAGUGAGGUCAUUUGGGUCUGGG
rnacentral:lncRNA from 10 species